rnacentral:rRNA from 1 species
UACGUAGGGGGCGAGCGUUGUCCGAAUUUACUGGGCGUAAAGAGCGCGUAGGCGGUUUCUUACGUGAGAGGUGAAAGGUUCAGGGCUCAACCCGAACAGUGCCUUUCAUACUGGGAGCCUUGAGUGUGGGAGAGGCGAGUGGAAUUUCUGGUGUAGCGGUGAAAUGCGUAGAUAUCAGAAGGAACACCCAUGGCGAAGGCAGCUCGCUGGCCUACAACUGACGCUGAGGCGCGAAAGCGUGGGGAGCAAACAGG